rnacentral:rRNA from 1 species
UAGGGAAUCUUCGGCAAUGGACGAAAGUCUGACCGAGCAACGCCGCGUGAGUGAAGAAGGUUUUCGAAUCGUAAAACUCUGUUGGUAGAGAAGAACGUUGGUGAGAGUGGAAAGCUCAUCAAGUGACGGUAACUACCCAGAAAGGGACGGCUAACUACGUGCCGG